AACGAACGCUAGCGGCAUGCCUAACACAUGCAAGUCGAACGAGACCUUCGGGUCUAGUGGCGCACGGGUGCGUAACGCGUGGGAACCUGCCCUUAGGUUCGGAAUAACUCCCCGAAAGGGGUGCUAAUACCGGAUAAUGUCUUCGGACCAAAGAUUUAUCGCCUUUGGAUGGGCCCGCGUUGGAUUAGCUAGUUGGUAGGGUAAAAGCCUACCAAGGCGACGAUCCAUAGCUGGUCUGAGAGGAUGAUCAGCCACACUGGGACUGAGACACGGCCCAGACUCCUACGGGAGGCAGCAGUGGGGAAUAUUGGACAAUGGGCGAAAGCCUGAUCCAGCAAUGCCGCGUGAGUGAUGAAGGCCUUAGGGUUGUAAAGCUCUUUUACCCGGGAUGAUAAUGACAGUACCGGGAGAAUAAGCUCCGGCUAACUCC
rnacentral:rRNA from 1 species